GGGGCUAUAGCUCAGUGGUAGAGCACUUGCCUGGUAAGCGUGAGGCCCUAGGUUCAGUCCCUGGUACCA
rnacentral:tRNA from 1 species